rnacentral:rRNA from 1 species
CCUACGGGAGGCAGCAGUGAGGAAUAUUGGUCAAUGGACGAGAGUCUGAACCAGCCAUGUAGCGUGAAGGAUGACGGCCCUAUGGGUUGUAAACUUCUUUUAUAUGGGAAUAAAAUGUUCCACGUGUGGGGUGUUGUAUGUACCAUAUGAAUAAGGAUCGGCUAACUCCGUGCCAGCAGCCGCGGUAAUACGGAGGAUCCGAGCGUUAUCCGGAUUUAUUGGGUUUAAAGGGUGCGUAGGUGGAUUGUUAAGUCAGUUGUGAAAGUUUGCGGCUCAACCGUAAAAUUGCAGUUGAAACUGGCAGUCUAGAGUACAGUAGAGGUGGGCGGAAUGCGUGGUGUAGCGGUGAAAUGCUUAGAGAUCACGAAGAACUCCGAUUGCGAAGGCAGUUCACCAGACUGCAACUGACACUGAGGCUCGAAAGUGUGGGUAUCAAACAGGAUUAGAUACCCUAGUAGUC